UAGGGAAUCUUCCGCAAUGGGCGAAAGCCUGACGGAGCAACGCCGCGUGAGUGAUGAAGGUCUUCGGAUCGUAAAACUCUGUUAUUAGGGAAGAACAAAUGUGUAAGUAACUAUGCACGUCUUGACGGUACCUAAUCAGAAAGCCACGGCUAACUACGUGCCAGCAGCCGCGGUAAUACGUAGGUGGCAAGCGUUAUCCGGAAUUAUUGGGCGUAAAGCGCGCGUAGGCGGUUUUUUAAGUCUGAUGUGAAAGCCCACGGCUCAACCGUGGAGGGUCAUUGGAAACUGGAAAACUUGAGUGCAGAAGAGGAAAGUGGAAUUCCAUGUGUAGCGGUGAAAUGCGCAGAGAUAUGGAGGAACACCAGUGGCGAAGGCGACUUUCUGGUCUUUAACUGACGCUGAUGUGCGAAAGCGUGGGGAUCAAACAGG
rnacentral:rRNA from 1 species